rnacentral:rRNA from 1 species
AUUGAACGCUGGCGGCAUGCCUUACACAUGCAAGUCGAACGGCAGCACGGGAGCAAUCCUGGUGGCGAGUGGCGAACGGGUGAGUAAUACAUCGGAACGUGCCCAGUAGUGGGGGAUAGCCCGGCGAAAGCCGGAUUAAUACCGCAUACGGCCUACGGGCGAAAGCGGGGGAUCGCAAGACCUUGCGCCAUUGGAGCGGCCGAUGUCAGAUUAGCUAGUUGGUGGGGUAAAAGCCCACCAAGGCGACGAUCUGUAGCUGGUCUGAGAGGACGACCAGCCACACU